rnacentral:rRNA from 1 species
GAGAGCGACCGGUGCUUGCACUGGUCAAUCUGGUGGCGAACGGGUGAGUAACACGUGGGUAACCUGCCCAUCAGAGGGGGAUAACAUUCGGAAACGGAUGCUAAAACCGCAUAGGUCCUUUAACCGCAUGGUUGAAGGAGGAAAAGAGGCGCAAGCUUCUGCUGAUGGAUGGACCCGCGGUGCAUUAGCUAGUUGGUGAGGUAGCGGCUCACCAAGGCCGUGAUGCAUAGCCGACCUGAGAGGGUGAUCGGCCACAUUGGGACUGAGACACGGCCCAAACUCCUACGGGAGGCAGCAGUAGGGAAUCUUCCGCAAUGGACGCAAGUCUGACGGAGCAACGCCGCGUGAGUGAAGAAGGUUUUCGGAUCGUAAAACUCUGUUGUUAGAGAAGAACAAGUGCUAGAGUAACUGUUAGCGCCUUGACGGUAUCUAACCAGAAAGCCACGGCUAACUACGUGCCAGCAGCCGCGGUAAUACGUAGGUGGCAAGCGUUGUCCGGAUUUAUUGGGCGUAAAGCGAGCGCAGGCGGUUCCUUAAGUCUGAUGUGAAAGCCCCCGGCUCAACCGGGGAGGGUCAUUGGAAACUGGGGAACUUGAGUGCAGAAGAGGAGAGUGGAAUUCCAUGUGUAGCGGUGAAAUGCGUAGAUAUAUGGAGGAACACCAGUGGCGAAGGCGACUCUCUGGUCUGUAACUGACGCUGAGGCUCGAAAGCGUGGGUAGCAAACAGGAUUAGAUAUCCUGGUAGUCCACGCCGUAAACGAUGAGUGCUAAGUGUUGGAGGGUUUCCGCCCUUCAGUGCUGCAGUUAACGCAUUAAGCAC